rnacentral:lncRNA from 1 species
UUUUAACCUUAGAGACCAACCUAGUAAUCCCUAAACCCUAAAAUAUUUCUCCCCUUACAUGACCGCCAUAAUUUCUCAAAAUUCUCUCACUUCUCUCAUUCGCCUAAACCCAUAAAUCCUAAAUCCUUGCACAAAUUUGUGCACUUGAUUCAGCCUCAAAUCAUCUCUUUUGCCUCUUGAGCCAUGAAUCUCGUCGAUUCUUUUUCAUUUCCACCGAUAAAUUCAAAACGCCCAAAUCCAAAACUCUAGCCAAAAAUUGAAACUUCAAAGUCAUCUGAUUCCUCUCAUGCUCUAUCAAAUUGGGGCAUGCAUGGAGGUUUCUCAGAGCUUCAUCAUGAGUAUUCGAUGUCCAGAGGUCAAACGCAGUGACCUCUGGACGUUUGAGCCUUAACCAAUUUUUUUGCUUAUCAAUGGUCGAUUCUGAUUCUCACACGCCCAGGUAAAACUCCUUCCUCGAUUUUCCCUCUGUUCUUUCUGAUUUUUCUCCCUAUUGUCAUUAACUCAUUAUGAUCUUGCACUCACUAUUUGAAAUCUACCGGAAGCCUAAGCAUUGAAGAUACUAUAAAUAGUGGCUUAGUUGUUCUCACCUAACAACAUAGCGAAAGAAACAACAACCACCGAGAAUCAGCACACACACACAAUUACAUAACUGAAAGCUUAGAUUUUCACUUUCUUUUCUCUUCUCCAGUUCCGAGUUCAUCCUCUAUUCGAAAAUUGAGUCUUUGGUUCCUAAACGACUGAACAAAUGACUUUGGUUUGGUUUGCUUCUUCGUAGAAGGUCAGUGUAUACAUACCCCUCUCAUUCUUUAAUUGUUUAAGUUAUAAUCAUGCUUACCAUGUUAUCUUUGCUUCUUAUCUUUUCUUAUAAUGUAUACUAUCAGCUUAUGACUGAUUAUCAUGCCUUAACAUUGAAUAUUAUCCUCAUUGUAUGAGCCAACUGUUUUCCCUGAUACCUGAAACUAUUUUAAUGUUGGUCGACUCUCCUAUGUGCUUAAUAAGUUUGACCAGAUAAAUGUUUUUUUAAACUAAACAAAUCUAAGUCUUGCGGAAUAUCGGUAGUUAAUAAAGAGAUGUAAUGAUUCUCUACAUAUGCUUUGUCGAAAUUAUACUACUGUUAUGAUCUUAGGUUUCUUCUGAUACCCUGUUAAAAGUUCUAUGUCUACUUUCCCAAUAUUACUUUGAUCCCGAAAUAAAAAAUAUCACUUGCUGAUCCAUGCUUAAUCUGUCUACUUUAACAAUAUUGGGACCAUGUUUGUUGCGUACACUUAAGGGUCCAAUACAAAGUUGUUAUAGUCUAAACUCACCAGCUUAUUUUUCUUGCUAUUCAAAUAUGUCCUACAAUCUUAUAAUCCCUUAAAAUAUCAUUGUGUGUAGGAUUGAAAGUUUUUUAUUAAUCCUCUUGUUUAUGUGAUUUCAUAGUUACACCUUUGAAUUCUAGUAUAUAAAUGUUGCCUAAAGGGAUUGACCUAAGUCUUAAUGAGUUUCUGUAGUUAAUUCUAUAUGUAUUCUGUCAGCUAUUACCAUGUUUUCUAGCCUAGUUUAAGCUAUGUUAUUAACCUCUCCUUAAAAGUUUUGGUUAAAAGUUACACCUGUUGCAUUUGUGCUAUAUUAUCUCUUGGGUUAACUAUGCUAUUAAUAUGUCUAAAACUUAACUUCAUCAUGAUUCCUAUGUUAUCACAUCAACUUGUCUUCCUGGAUUGAUUAAUCAGCCAUCAGGACUAUGUCCACUUAAUAUAUGUGAAACUUCCUUGUUCUCAUGAAUUGAACCUCUGUAAUGAACAUACUAGUCUGAUUCUAGAUUAUUUGCUCCUCUUCUAUACUCUAUAAUCUUGUAGUCCUUUAGGAACAUCACUUGUAUGUAUUUGAAUAUCCUCUGUUAAGCCUCUAGACCUAGUUGUUUGUUAAAAAAUUUUCCGCUUGUCUUUCAUUUAAGAUAUACUCAUGCUUGAGCCCUCAUAUUCUUCACUUAUAACUGUAUUAUUCCAUAAGGAAGACGCUGAAUCUUGAUAGCCUAACAACAUAGAAUUCAGAAUUCAAAGUUAGUUGUUAUCACUUAUAAACUAAAGGAAAACUCAUUAAUAUUUACUUGCCUUGUUUGGAUGAGUAUUGUACCAUGCUUGUUUGAAUACCUUGGCCCUUAAUAAUCUAAUGUGAAUUUGGAUUGAGAACCUGAUAGUAUAAGUGAUCAUGUUACUACUUUGGAUUAGAUUAAGAAUUCCUGCAGGUUUAAACCUACCAAUAGGAUUAGUAAGGUCAACAUACACAUCUUCUCUAUCCCCUGGAACACUUAACUUAGCAUCUCAAACUUGAACUAGUCUACUGGUGGUUGCCUCUAUUUAUUUCACAUAUGUGAUUAAUUUCUUCAAAGUGUUCAGAUGAAUGAUGAAUGUCCUUGUAUGUUGCAAACACUUGCAACAACCUACAUUCUUGUAUUUGGAUUGUGAUCUUAAAGUUGAUAGUAUAAUCUUACACUGUUCAUAUCCUUAUACUCUGAUGAUAGUAUUCUAUGUAGUUUCUGUGGUAAUUAUGUCUGCCUGAACCUUUUGUCUUAACUGUUGAUGGUUAUUAGAGUGAGUACCUCAUUUCUAUCUAAACCUUUGGAGAAGAAUGAUUGUGUGUAACUAAGGGUAUUUGGGAUGGGGCUUAGUCUGUGAAUGAGUUGUCCCUCCCUAACAAAAGCACUGCUCGGGGUCCUUGAGACCCUUGUGAACUCUGAAGCACCAGAGAUUCCAAGGAUACCUUGUUCAUGAAUAAGGUCUCACCCUAAUCUCUUAGUCAUUGACCUUCAUUAAUCCUCUUAGGAUUAAUAUAAAUAAAGUUUAGUCUUCACUCUACAUAUUUUAUUUGUUAUGGCAUUGUCUUUUUGGGCCUCAUAUUGUCUUUACUCUAUUCUUAAUCACAAUUGUAUGUUACAACCUAUUUUAUUAGGCCUUAUGUAGCAUCACUAACGUCUUCUCUAUAUUUUUGUAUGAAUGUUCGAAUUUGGGCCUGCUGAGUUCUCUAGAACUCAGGCCCAAGUUAUAGCCUAGAGUCCAAAUUACAGAAGCCUGCCGCCGCUAUGUUAGAAGUCUGCUAGGCCUACAUUUCCUUUGGCCCAAAUUCGGAGUCCAGUUCCCUCUCCUUUCCUCACUCUUAGAUAAAUCUAACUUUCUACUUAUUCUCUGUAUAUAUUACACUAACGUUGUUAUUGAAUGCUUCUAUUGAGCUUUAAUUAUUUUAGGAACCUAGGCAAGCCAAGGCCCAUAGGUAAUUAAAAGGGAAUCACUGUUUAUACUAUGUUAAACUAUAAAACUACAACACUUUGGUCAUUUAUUUUUGAUAUACAAGAUUUUAUUAAUAUAUGCUAACCAAGCUCUUUUGAAUUUUAAAAUAGAUUUGAAAAGCAAGCGACCCUUUCUCUUAAAAGCCAGAAUUGAAAGGAUGAUUUCAAAGUUGGUUUUCUAUAAACAAACAAAAAUCAAAUACGGUGGGGGUUAAACUUCAAUGAGUUUUUUUUCAAAAUAUGGCUACAAGUUGAUAUCAAUUUUCAAAGGUAUAUUCAAGACCCAUUUUUAAUAAUCUGUUACUCUACCAGAUUUACCCAAAAACAACCCCAUUACUUCAAAAGAUAAAAAUAUUAAAACAUAACCACAUUUACAAAUCUUUUCAAUCUUGUAGAUGUAAAUAUUUUUUUCAAAAGACUUUUACAAAUUAAACCUAUGUUCUCUUUUCAAAGUAUAUAUACUACAUUUUUUUUUCAAACAGUAGACUUUAAACAAGAUAUAAAAAAAGUUACAAAUUUUAAGCACUAAACUAAGUAGAAUGUUAACAUCUAAUUUUCUAAACCUAGUCUAAGUCCUAUGGAGCUACCUCAAGUAGGUUCUAGGGGGUUUCUAACACCUCCUCCUUGGUAGAACAAGAAACCUUACCCAAAUCUCACCGGUUAGCAGACUAAUAGGAUAAUAAUCUAAUAUAUAAAUAGGUACCCUAGUAUACCUUUAAAUAUUAGGUGGCAACUCUCUUUCAUAAACUACAGGGAAACCAAUAGUUGAAUCUUUUUUUGACUCAUGCAACACCUACACCUUAGUGUAUCACUUAUAUCAGUCCAUGAGUACGCAAUUUGAUAUCCAUUGUUCAUGUACAUGUAUUCUUGAAUAUGCUUUCUGUGUGAUAUGAAUUGUGUUGAUAGCACGCGAGUUGUCCGUGCAGAUUUGAGUUAUAUUGGCAGGUGAAUUGUCAGUGCGGUAGUUAUAUAUUGAACGUGACUUGUUCGUGCGACAUGUGGCUAAGUAUCCAUCCCCCUAGGGUGACCCUCUCAUAUUUCUGUCUUGAUGGUAUACACGCGAUAUGAGGAAAACUGCCUAGUCUUUGUUUUGGUUAUUGCAUUUCUUCUCUACUUGUAAUUUUCUUGGAUGUAUACAUGAUUUUGCUGCAUCUCGUCUCUAUUUUCUAGCUCCGGGGUGUAUACAUGCCUUAUGCAUAUCUUCUCUAUAUGCACACCUUACUUGAUGAUAUUAGACACAAUAUAUAUCUUCUCAUUAUAUGAAUCCGUGUGACUUGACUUGUUUAAUCAUGCAUAUCUCGUUUACAUGCAACUGAUGAAGGAUUAUCUGGUAUUUCACGCUUAUCUUCUCUAUAUGCUGGGUUGUUAAUUUAAACAGAGCAUGUUAUAUCAUCUUUGUGCACCGAGACAGCUUUAUAUGUGAUUAAUAACUUGAUAAUAUUAAUGUUGUGCAUUUGUGAAAUUUAUGAAUUUAACAAGUUAUUAGCGACUAUCAUUGAUAAUUCAUGCCUCUAUUACAUUGCCGAGGUUAGUUAUGAUACUUUUCGAGUUAAUUUAAACAGAGCAUGUUAUAUCAUCUUUGUGCACCGAGACAGCUUUAUAUGUGAUUAAUAACUUGAUAAUAUUAAUGUUGUGCAUUUGUGAAAUUUAUGAAUUUAACAAGUUAUUAGCGACUAUCAUUGAUAAUUCAUGCCUCUAUUACAUUGCCGAGGUUAGUUAUGAUACUUUUCGAGUACAUGUGGUCGGUUAUACUCAUACUACACUUCUGUACCUUGCGUGCAUAUCUUGGAGCUGAGCUGCUGUGGAUGACGGGAGUUGGCAUUGAAGAAGUACCUGCUUUUUGGAUAUAGCUACCACUUGUAUUUGGUAGUUUUGGAUUCGUACUCUAUUCAUGUAUACUCCAAACAGAUGUAUUGAUUCAUUUCACCAGUUUUGUAAAUCUAAGUUUUAGUGGUUCGUGACUUGUACUACCAAUCCUUGGGUUAUUGUAUGGAAACUCAACUAUUUUAUUUAUUGAUUAUUUGCGAUCUUCAUUA